GAUGAACGCUGGCGGCGGGCCUAAUACAUGCAAGUCGAGCGAACAGACGAGGAACUUGCUCCUCUGACGUUAGCGGCGGACGGGUGAGUAACACGUGGAUAACCUACCUAUAAGACUGGGAUAACUUCGGGAAACCGCAGCUAAUACCGGACAAUAUAUUGAACCGCAUGGCUCAAUAGUGAAAGACGGUUUUGCUGUCACUUAUAGAUGGAUCCGCGCCGCAUUAGCUAGUGGGAAAGGUAACGGCUUACAAAGGCAACGAUGCGUAGCCGCUCAGAGAGGGUGACCGGCCACUCUAGACUUCAGCUCUGGUCCAAGCGCCUAGGCGAGCCAGCAGUCGGCAGUAUCCUGCGCAGGGCGAAGUGCUGACGGAGCAAAGCCGCGUGAGUGAUAAAGGUCUUCGGAUCGCACAGCUCUGUUACUGGGGACGAACAAAUGUGUAAGUCACUAUGCACGCCUUGACGGUACCCCCUCGGAGAGCAACGGCUAGCUACGUG
rnacentral:rRNA from 1 species